GCGCCCGUAGCUCAGCAGGAUAGAGCGGCCGCCUCCUAAGCGGCAGGUCGGGGAUUCGAGUUCCUCCGGGCGCGCCA
rnacentral:tRNA from 1 species